rnacentral:rRNA from 1 species
UGGGGAAUCUUGCGCAAUGGGCGAAAGCCUGACGCAGCGACGCCGCGUGAGGGAAGAAGGCCUUCGGUUGUAACCUCUUUCAGCAGGGACGAAGCUACUCGGGUUAACAGCCCAGAGGGUGACGGUACCUGUAGAAGAAGCCCCGGCUAACUACGUGCCAGCAGCCGCGGUAAUACGUAGGGGGCAAGCGUUGUCCGGAUUUACUGGGCGUAAAGAGCGUGUAGGCGGCCAAGCAGGUCUGUUGUGAAAACUGGAGGCUCAACCUCCAGACGUCGACAGAAACCGCUUGGCUAGAGUCCGGAAGAGGAGAGUGGAAUUCCUGGUGUAGCGGUGAAAUGCGCAGAUAUCAGGAAGAACACCAAUGGCGAAGGCAGCUCUCUGGGACGGUACGUGACGCUGAGACGCGAAAGCGUGGGGAGCGAACAGGAUUAGAUACCCUGGUAGUCCACGCCGUAAACGAUGGGU